UCAUUAUUGUAUAACCGAGGUGGCAAGGGCUGUCGCUGACCUUUCAAAGGUUGUGCACGCCCAAGCACACUCUCACACAUCCAUCUCACCCCUUUUGUGCAUCACCGCGUAGGCCCUCCCUUUGCAAGGAGGGCUUGCGUUUUCACAUAAAAACUUUUGAUACAGUAUAGAAUGUUCUUUUUUAUUUUGCGGUCACACGCAAUCAAUACAACUUUCAACAACGGAUCUCUUGGCUCUCGCAUCGAUGAAGAACGCAGCGAAAUGCGAUACGUAAUGUGAAUUGCAGAAUUCAGUGAAUCAUCGAAUCUUUGAACGCACCUUGCGCCCCUUGGCAUUCCGAGGGGCACACCCGUUUGAGUGUCGUGAAAUCAUCAAAAACCCUUUUUCUUUGAAAAGGAUUUUUGGACUUGGAGGUUCCAUGCUUGCCUUUGCCUUUGAAGGUGAGCUCCUCUCAAAUAAAUUAGUGGGGUCCGCUUUGCUGAUCCUUAAUGUGAUAAGAUGUUUCUACAUUUUGGAUUUAGCACUGUCCCUUGGAUGCCUGCUCCUAACUGUCUUUUGGACAAUGAUGGUGCUCCGGUCAUCGCCAUCUACAUUGGCGAGAGGCUGGGACCCACAAAAAAAAACCUUGACCUC
rnacentral:rRNA from 1 species